rnacentral:misc_RNA from 1 species
GUGGAUGUUCAGCAUUUUCUUUGGCACCCUCUUCUCUAACACUUUCUUGGUGUACAUACAAGACAAUGUGGGUUGGACUCUUGGCUAUGGCCUUCCUACAGCAGGAUUUGCAAUUUCCAUCUUUGUGUUCUUGAUGGGCACUCCUUUCUAUAGGCAUAAGUUGCCUGCUGGGAGUCCAUUCACUAAAAUUGCACAGGUUUUGAUUGCUGCUAUGAGGAAGUGGCAGGUACCUGUCCCAAAUGAUCCCAAAGAGCUCCAUGAACUUGGCAUAGACGAGUACUCCAAAUCUGCCAUAUUCAGAAUCGAUCACACCCCUUCCUUAAGAAUCCUCGACAAAGCUGCUGUAAAGAUUGCUGGAUCAAGAAGUUCACCAUGGAUGCUAUGUCCAGUGACUCAGGUAGAAGAAACCAAGCAAAUGAUAAAAAUGCUUCCAGUUUUACUGACAACAUUCAUACCCAGCGCCACCUUAGCUCAAGUAGGCACACUCUUCAUCAAACAAGGCACCACCCUGGAUAGAAGCAUGGGACCUCAUUUUGAAAUCCCUCCAGCAUGUCUCACAGCAUUUGUCACAAUCUCUAUGCUUAUAAGUCUUGUCCUAUAUGAUCGUUUCCUGGUGCCAGUCCUCAGCCGCUACACCAAUAACCCCAGAGGGAUCACAUUGCUUCAAAGAAUAGGAAUUGGUCUAAUCCUGCAUGUUCUCAUUAUGGUCACUGCAUGCUUAGUUGAAAGGAAGAGACUUAGUGUUGCAAGAGAUCAUAAUAUUGUUGGUAAACAUCAGAUAAUUCCUCUCAGUGUUUUCUUUCUCCUCCCUCAGUUUGCUUUGAUGGGGGUUGCUGAUACUUUCCUGGAAGUUGCAAAGCUAGAAUUAUUCUACGACCAAGCUCCAGAAGGAAUGAAGAGCUUGGGGACCUCAUAUUUCACUAGUAGCUUGGCAAUUGGGAAUUUUCUCAGUAGUUUUCUUCUCAAAACAGUUGCUGAUAUCACUAAGAAGCAUGGCCAUAAAGGGUGGAUUUUGGAUAAUCUGAACAUCUCUCACUUAGACUACUAUUAUGCAUUCUUGGCUGUGUUGAUGUUCCUCAACUUGCUAAUCUUCUUGGUUGUGGCCAAGUUCUUUGUUUACAAUAUCGAUGUGGACUCCAAAAGGGAAUUACAGGAUGCCAUUGGAGCUUCACCGGACAAGCUUCAUACCCAAGAUCACAAGGAAGACUUAAAGGCUGCACAAAAUUGAUAGGAGUUGAGACCCUCUUGGUAUAUUUCUUGCUUCUUGAAAUCUUCACACACCAAUGUAAUCUACAGAAAGAGGCAAGUGUACCAUUAUAAUAUAAAUGACAUUGGCAUAGUUCCCUUGUCUAUAAUUGAAAACAAGCUCCACCAUAGAUGGACCAUUAUUACUUGAUGCAUGUCAUUAUUUUUCCCGUCCAGAAAUGUAUUAUCACUUGAUGCAUUUCACUGAUUCAAGGGGAUCUAGAUAGGAUUGCAAGCGGUUUUGGUUUCAGUCUUGGUUCAUCCAGUUUCCUCAAAUCUAGAGGAUGAUAUUUUUUUCAAAAAAUAAUUAAAAGGAAAAUUUUGUUUUUAUCUAAAAUCAA